rnacentral:rRNA from 14 species
UGUCUUAAGAGGACACUUUGCUUCUUAAAUGGACAAAAUGCGUCUAGCAUUAUGAGAUUGAGCAAUAACAGGUCUGUGAUGCCCUUAGAUGUUCUGGGCUGCACGCGCGCUACAAUGAAAGUAUCAACGUGUAUUUCCUAGACCGAGAGGUCCGGGUAAACCGCUGAACCACUUUCAUGCUUGGGAUUGUGAACUGAAACUGUUCACAUGAACUUGGAAUUCC